GGGAGUCUGGCUCUCGAGAUUCGGAGGGCGGUGCCUCUUCGAUUUUGGAGCAAGCAAUCUUGUUGGGAGUGUUGUCUCGAAUGUGAGUAAAGGUUGGGCAUGUUUGCUAGUCUACCUUGCCACGAAGCACAAAGGUUGAUACACAGGGACUUUCCAAUUAUCCAGCAAUGGUACUGUUCCUUUACCCUCUCUUCGAUUUUGAGAAAGUAGUCGUGUUGGGAGUCUGGCUCUCGAGAUUCGGAGGACGGUGCCUCUUCG
rnacentral:lncRNA from 1 species